AGUCUUUGUGUCUGAAGAGUUUUACAGUCGACUGAGUUUACAUAUGUAUGUGUUUAUAUUAAGGCUGUCAACGUUAACGCGUUAACGCGUGCGAUUAAUCCAGAAACCUUAACGCGUUAAUUGUUUUUUUAACGCAAAUUAAUCAUAUCACCAAGUCUGACCACAACAACCUGCCGUAGUCCUCCCGCGCGGAUGUUUACCUGCCUGUGGGUGAAGAAGUAGCGAAGUGAUGAGUGAGGAGAAGGACCCCGGUGUGCUUAACGGCAAAUUUAGAUUAAAAAAGCUUCUGAAUGGGAUUUUAGAUAACAUCAGAGUUGUGUGUACAUACUGCAGUGAUGCACUGUCUUUCCACCGUAGUACAACGACUCUGAAGUACCAUCUCCGUGCAAAGCACAUCUUUGCUAACACAGACGCUAACACCGAGACGAGUUCAAGCCGUGCUCGUCAAGCUACACUGGCGGAGUACAGCAGAGCCGGUGCUCUGUCAACAAGACGACAACAAAUAAGCUAACUAAUGCUAUCGCUAAAUGGGUCGCAACCGACUGCAGACCCAUCAACAUCGUUGAAGACAAGGGGCUUCGAGACAUUAUCCAGAUCGCCUCAGGGGACUCAUCCUACAAAACGCCUUCGAGGGGAACUAUUGUCACAAGAAUCCAUGAACUCUAUGGAAGUGAAAAGGAAACGAAAGUGGAGCAGCUGGCACGAGCUUCAUUUAUUGCACUGACAGGAGACCACUGGACAUCAGUGUCAGAUGUUUCUCAGGCCACUGCCCUGAGCCAGUCUCACUGUUGAUUUCACCCUGAGCUGUGUCUCCGUCUCCAGCUCCAAUCUGAUCGACUUCUCCACUGAAGAUGGGUCCAGUUGAUGAUGUCAUACUGCUGUGCUUUAAUUUAAUCUCCCAUGAGGAAAUCCAUCCCACAAUGGGAUGUUCACAUGGUGACAUGGGGCCAUGUACAACAAUCCCCGUUGUUGCAGGGAUGACCUCAGCGAGCGCUGCUGGAGCGAUGGCCUUUGUUCCUCCUUCUGUUCUUCUGUAUGGAAUGGUUGGAAGCCUGGUGAGCCACUGGUGGGGCAAGGAUGAAAUCAAGGAUGAAAUCAAGGAUGAAAUCAAGUUUGAAAUCAAGGAUGAAAUCAAGUUUGAAAACAAACUAUCUCAGAUCAUAAUUCGGCUCAGUGAUCUGGAGAAGCAAGAGCUUUAUAAUCAUAUCAUAAACGUCGAAGUCCUGAACAACAUACAGUGGACAGAUUUUGUCAACCUGUAUACUCAGGUGUAUUCUCAGCCCAGAGUGAAGCGGCAGAUUCUCGAAACUAUCAUACCGUUUCUAACAUACUGCCCAAAAGAUGUGAUCUGUUUGUAACCAGGCUUCAGGGACUUCAUUAAAGUAAAAUCCCAGUGCA